AUGUCAUACACAGCGAUGGAGUUGGUCUGUUGGAAUGUUAGGGGCCUCAACAGCCCGGCGAAGAAAAAAACGCUGAGGGAGUUUGUAGACACGGUGCACGUGGCUAUCAUAUGUAUCCUAGAGUCUAAACUGGAGAGGGUGGAUCAAUUCACAAUUAUGCAAUGCUUAGGGCCAUCUUAUGAUGGUUUCACGUACUUGCCGGCUUCGGAGACUAGGCAUGGAAUUAUUGUUGGAUGGGACUCAUCCAGAGUGCAAUUGUCGAAUGUUGCGAUUGACACAAACUUUCUCACGGGAUUUGUGUCCCCUAGGGAGGGGCCAACGUGGUGGCUUUCGGUGGUAUAUGGACCACAAUCAGAUGUGCAAAAAAUCGCGUUCUUGGAGGAGUUGGUUGAUCGGAGAGCUCUUUGCCCGGGGCCUUGGUUGGUCAUAGGUGACUUUAACCUAAUCCUGCACGCCUCGGACAAGAGUAACAACAGGAUCGAUCGUAGAAUGAUGGGGAUGUUGAAGAGAUUCAUUGAUGACUGCGCUCUCAAAGAGCUGUUUCUCCAUGGAAGGAAGUUCACUUGGAGUAACGAGAGGGAGGUGCCUACCCUGACCAAGAUUGACAGGGCGUUCGUGUCGGUGGAUUGGGAGCUUGACCAUCCAGAGUGCUUGCUCCAGGCCAUGUCUACGUCAGCGUCAGAUCAUUGCCCUCUUUUCCUGGCGCUGGAGGAGCAUCUUCAACCGAGGAGGAGGUUCAGAUUUGAACUAUUCUGGACCAAACUGGACGGGUUUCUCGAGGCGGUGAAGGAGGCCUGGGUGUGUGAUGGGGAAAUAACCAACCCUUUUCAUCGCCUGGACGUGUUGCUGAGGAACGCGGCUAAGUCCCUCACGGCUUGGGGUCAACGGAGAGCGGGAAACAUCAAGCUCCAAAUCGCAUGCGCAAACUUGGUUAUCUUGCGCUUUGAUUGCGCUGUAGAGUCAAGGAGGCUGUCGGAGGGAGAGAGAUGGCUCAGGGCUACGCUCAAGCAGCUGGUGCUCGGCUUGGCAUCUUUGGAAAGAACGACCGCGCGGGGAAGAUCCCGGAUAAGAUGGUUGCAAGAGGGAGACGCUAAUACCACUAUGUUUCACAUGAUUGCAAAUGGUCGGAAGACCAAGAAUUUCAUACCAGCAUUGUCAGUUCAGGGGCAGGUGAUCACAGACCAACUGGGCAAAGAGAAGGCGUUCUUUGAGGAGUACAAGAAUCUGCUUGGGAAGGACAGUGCGAGGGAGCACUCUAUCGACCUGGAGUUUCUGAACUUGACCAGUGUGGACCUUGCCGAUCAGGACUUGGUAUUCCAGGAAGAGGAGAUAUGGGAGGUGAUCAAAGACAUGCCCGCGGAUAGAGCGCCAGGGCCGGAUGGAUUCAUCAGGAUCUUCUUUCAUAAGGCAUGA
rnacentral:rRNA from 1 species